rnacentral:rRNA from 1 species
CAAUAGACAAGUCGAGCGGCAGCGGAAGUACCUUGCUACUUUGCCGGCGAGCGGCGGACGGGUGAGUAAUGUCUGGGAAACUGCCUGAUGGAGGGGGAUAACUACUGGAAACGGUAGCUAAUACCGCAUAACGUCGCAAGACCAAAGAGGGGGACCUUCGGGCCUCUUGCCAUCAGAUGUGCCCAGAUGGGAUUAGCUAGUAGGUGGGGUAACGGCUCACCUAGGCGACGAUCCCUAUCUGGUCUGAGAGGAUGACCAGCCACACUGGAACUGACACACGGUCCAGACUCCUACGGGAGGCAGCAGUGGGGAAUAUUGCACAAUGGGCGCAAGCCUGAUGCAGCCAUGCCGCGUGUAUGAAGAAGGCCUUCGGGUUGUAAAGUACUUUCAGCGGGGGAGAAGGGGUUGAGGUUUAUAACCUCCGGUAUUGAGGGGGGGGGGGAGAAAA